rnacentral:rRNA from 1 species
CGGGGUGAGUAACGCGUGGGUAACCUGCCUCACACAGGGGAUAACAGUUAGAAAUGACUGCUAAUACCGCAUAACCCGAUAGGAUCGCAUGAUCCAGACGGAAAAGAUUUAUCGGUGUGAGAUGGACCCGCGUCUGAUUAGCUAGUUGGUGAGGUAACGGCCCACCAAGGCAACGAUCAGUAGCCGGCCUGAGAGGGUGAACGGCCACAUUGGGACUGAGACACGGCCCAA